rnacentral:rRNA from 1 species
CCUACGGGGGGCAGCAGUGAGGAAUAUUGGUCAAUGGCCGUAAGGCUGAACCAGCCAAGUCGCGUGAAGGAAGAAGGAUCUAUGGUUUGUAAACUUCUUUUAUAGGGGAAUAAAGGUAUCCACGUGUGGCUAUUUGCAUGUACCCUAUGAAUCAGCAUCGGCUAACUCCGUGCCAGCAGCCGCGGUAAUACGGCGGAUGCGAGCGUUAUCCGGAUUUAUUGGGUUUAAAGGGUGCGUAGGUUGUUUUUUAAGUCAGCGGUGAAAGUUUGUGGCUCAACCAUAAAAUUGCCGUUGAAACUGGAAGACUUGAGUGGGUUUGAGGUAGGCGGAAUGCGUGGUGUAGCGGUGAAAUGCAUAGAUAUCACGCAGAACUCCGAUUGCGAAGGCAGCUUACUAAGCCAUAACUGACACUGAAGCACGAAAGCGUGGGGAUCAAACAGGAUUAGAUACCCUUGUAGUC